CCUGAUAGCUCAGUUGGUAAAGAAUCUGUCUACAAUGCAGAAGACCCUGGUUCGAUUCCUGGGUCAGGA
rnacentral:tRNA from 1 species